AUGGUUCGCGGAUCGCUCGGGAAGUUGGCGUUGCGCGCCGUCUCGGUCGCCGCCAAAUGUCAGCACCAGCAGAUCCGUGGAUUUACCAUCCACGAGUACCAGGUCGCAGAAUUGAUGACCAAGUCGGGGAUCAACGUGCCCAGGGGCGUGGUGGUGGGGUCAGUGCAGGAGGUCAAGUAAGUUUUGAAGAACGUCUUCCCCUCUGAGAAAGAGGUGAUGCUACCUUACUAG
rnacentral:rRNA from 1 species